GCCUCAGUAGCGGCGAGUGAAGCGGCAAGAGCUCAGAUUUGAAAUCGCCUCGGCGAGUUGUAAAUUGCAGGUUGGAGUCUUUGUGGCGGCGUGUGUCUAAGUCCCUUGGAACAGGGCGCCAUUGAGGGUGAGAGCCCCGUGCGGCACGCGUCUAAGCUUUAAGACCCUUCUGACGAGUCGAGUUGUUUGGGAAUGCAGCUCUAAGUGGGUGGUAAAUUCCAUCUAAGGCUAAAUACUGGCGAGAGACCGAUAGCGAACAAGUACUGUGAAGGAAAGAUGAAAAGCACUUUGAAAAGAGAGUGAAACAGCACGUGAAAUUGUUGAAAGGGAAGGGUAUUGGGCUCGACAUGGGGACUGCGCACCGUUGCUUCUUGUAGGCGGCGCUCUGUGCGGUUUCUGGGCCAGCAUCAGUUUUUGCCGCGGGAGAAUGGGGGGAGGAACGUGGCUCUUCGGAGUGUUAUAGCCUCUCUCAGAUGCCGCGAGCGGGGACUGAGGUCUGCGAUUCGUUCAAGGAUGCUGGCACAACGGCGCAAUACCGCCCGUCUUGAAACAUGGACCAAGGAGUCUAACGUCUAUGCGAGUGUUUGGGUGUGAAACCCCUACGCGUAAUGAAAGUGAACGUAGGUCGGACCCUUCGGGGGCACGAUCGACCGAUCCUGAUGUUUAUCGGAUGGAUUUGAGUAGGAGCAUAGCUGUUGGGACCCGAAAGAUGGUGAACUAUGCCUGAAUAGGGUGAAGCCAGAGGAAACUCUGGUGGAGGCUCGUAGCGGUUCUGACGUGCAAAUCGAUCGUCGAAUUUGGGUAUAGGGGCGAAAGAC
rnacentral:rRNA from 1 species